CGGCAGUGGGGAGAGGAGCCGUGCGGGAGGCGAUUCCUGGUCGCCGGCAAGGAGCGGCAGCAGAGGACCGGCCGGCGAGGAGCGACGGCAGAGGACCGGCGAGGAGCGGCGGUAGUGAAUCGGGGUGGCUUGCCCCUUGUGCCACUACGGAUUCAAUUAUGGCUAAGAAAUGGAAACUUGAAACUGUGGGACAUCCAUCUCCACCGAGAAGAAAUACAAGAGCAACUUCCAAAUCAGAUUUGGAAGGUUGUGGUGCUGGUGGGUCCUCACACAACAUGCUAGUGAUGCUGCCCCCUUGUGGAAGAGGGUCACUAGAGCAAGUUGCAGAAAUAUCAAGGGAAUGCCAGAUCAAGAUGUGGAAAACAAGAGGCGCAAAAAAAGGCAUCAUCAUGGGCGAUGAAGUAAAGCAGAAAUCAAAAGGGAAAGAGGUGAUGGAUGAACGCCACAUAAUUAAGAAGCAACCAGAUAAGGACUUGAGGAAAAAGGGAUCAGCUAGGAGGCUCAUACUUAUUAACAACACACUAGAAGAUCCUCAAAAAAAUGCUAUCGAACAUGUCGGUUUUGGGGAGCUGCUUCUAGUUCAAUGUUGGUCAAUUCCAGAGAAGCUAUCUUCCUGGCUCAUCAAAAGAUUUGAUAUCACAAGAUCCGAAUUGGUCAUACCACAAGAUCCGAAUUGGUCAUACCGUACAGGGGCAGAAUAAAAGUUGAUGACCACACUGUCCACAGGAUCUUGGGGCUCCCAAUGGUUGGAGAGCACAUCUAUUAUGCAAAGAAUAGUUUCGCUGAUACAUAUGAAGAAUUUUACAAAGUUUUCAACUAUGAAAAUGACCAAAAAGCACCAAUAUUUACUGAAGCUGAAAAUUGGCUAUUGGGUGAGGGAAAGAAGAGGAGUGACACCUUAUGGCUGUGGUAUUGGCUUGAGUUUGCCAUCAGCUCAUUCUUGUGCCCUACUUUAAACCCAAGUUUGUGUGUGCGGGCGUUCCAUGCGAUCACAGAUAUAGAAAAGAUCGACAAAUACAAUUUGUGCAGGUUUGUAGUUGAAAGAUUGAUUAGAGGCAUCACGGAGUUCAAUGAAGUAGGAAAAAAAUCAGUGUGAGGCUGUCUUUUUCUCCUUACGAUUUUGUAUUUAGAUGCCCUCGACAUCUGUGAUAUUGUAGAUCAAACUGCAAAAGUAAGAGCUUCUGUUUGGACACAAAGCUUGGUUACCAGAAUCACUGCAAUGGAUAGGGUAUCCAGCACUGAAUUCGGGAAGUUACAUGUGAAUCAUUUGUCCCCUUUUUUUCCCCUAGUUUUCCUUAGAGUAUCAAUCUGCAUGUUGUCUUAGUAUCAACUUACUCAUGGACAUGUAUCAACUUACAUCACCACCAUGAGUCAAGUUGACUGUAUACAUCAUAUAAAUUUUUUUUGCAGCUCAAAGCUAAGUACCAAAUGAACUCCCCCAACAUGCUCAUACAACCAGAAAGGAUUGAUGAGUUUGUCAACUCCAACAUGCCCGCUGAAUCGGUCACCAUGGAUAGGAACACCUUCAAGCAAGCCAUCAACGAGUUCAGCUUGGCCAUCAAUGAAGCGGUGGUAAAUCUUACCUUACAACUAUCUCAAGGCGGCAAGCAGACACCAAUCAGCACAGGUGCACCAGCAAGAGCACAGAGCACUAGUGCAGCUGCGGCAGAAAAACAGAGCAGCCCGACAGCAGCAGAAGACGAAGAUGCUGAGUUCAAAGAUAAAAGUGACACACCCUCCGAGGGGGAUCUCGAGUAUGUUGAGGAGUCUGAAGACGAGACCAUUGUUAAUCGUGAGCACAGGUCCAAAAGAAAACAAGAUGUACAUGUGGGAAAGGGUCAUUGAAGUAGUAGUGAGGAAUUGGAAGAUUAUGCCGAUUCAGAUUCUACAACGAUUGGAGAGAAGAUGCGGAAGACGAGCCUAUUGGAUAUAAAUGAGGGAUCUCAAUUUGCUUGCAACACCCAAUCGCUAGACAUUGAUAUCACCGGCAAUACUGCAACACAAAGAGAUGGUACACAAGAAGUUGACAUCACCGGGCUGCAGAGCAAACAAAAUGAUGAUGAAACACAAGAUUUUCAGCUCAAAGCAAGGAGAAAGGUAUCUCUCAAAGCAAAGAAGACAACAAAGAUGGUGAUGACAAAGAAGACAAAGAAAACACACCACUUGCAAAUUGCGAUGAUGCUAAAGGCAAACAGCCAAGGAAAGACAACCACCAAGAUGAUGAAGGACAUAGUGGGGCCAACAAAGAAAAAGAUGAAACCAACAAUUCCGGAAAGCAAGCUGCAAGCAAUAUAGGGGACGAAAGUGGAAAUGCAAGUCAAAGGUUAACACCUCAAAAUUCAAAAAGGGAUAGAAGAUAUAGAAGCCUCAGGCAAGUGCAGUGAUGUGUAUGGAGAUUCGGAGCCUAUCUCUCCAAUAAAUACGCUGAGUAUCAGAGAAGAGAUGGAAGCAUUAGGGCUACUUGAUGAUACACUACCAGGUCGUGCGACUGCAAAGCAAAUGGUUUUUGAAACGAUAGAGAUUUUAGAAGUGAGUGCAACAGCGGAGGUGAAGAAAAUGGUUGAGGAUUGCAUGCAGCUACCUAUGCCGGACUCCGGAUUAAAUCUGCCACUCAAAGAAGAAUCUGAGAAGUUCGAGACUAAACAAAUCAAAGAUGCCAUCGACAACCACCUAUCUCUAGAAACAAAGAAAGAAUUGAGGACCAAGGGAACUGCUACAAGGAUAGAUUUUAUGACUAGAAAGAAGUUGGUGGCUAAAAGUUCCAAGGCUGCAUGCCUCUUGCCUCCACUUGCACCAAAAAAGGAUAAUGGAAAGAAAACUUCAGACAAAAUGCAGCUCCCCCAAGAAGUAAAGGGUGCAAACGAGCUCAAGAAAAACAGCAAAAGCCCACAGAGCAAUGAAAAUAAAAAAGAUGAAGCAUCUGCAGCAUCAUCAACAGCAGCAAGGAUAAAUGUUUACACCAGGAAGCCAAGGAAAAAUUUCAACUGAAAUGGAGAAGCUAGUAGAAGCCUCCCUUCCAAUAGACAAGGGUGAAGAGAGCAAAGGCCCGCUGGCAGCCAAAAAGUUAGAUGAGAAAGCUAAGUUGCGAGCAAUUUUUUUUAAGCACUACCUUGACAUAUUCAACCAGCAAAUUGAGUACAAAUGGUUUUUCCCCAACAUUUUUCCUUCUUUUUGUUUUGGCAGGGCUUUUCCAUUGAGGGAGGAAGCAAUCUUCCAAGCAUUCGCACUAUUGAGGAGAUCUAGGAAUCUAAAGGAUACAAGGACGCCCGAGACGUACCCAGCUUCUCACUUGGGUUUGAUGAUGAUGUUACCCAGAAGAGCCCAAGUAAAUCAACAGUUGACGACUCUAUCACCGCCUCAAUGUUUGACCAACUUUGUGAUGAUGCCAUGAAGGGAUUAGCAAAGCAUCGAGAUUACCCCACUAUAAACACAAACCAUGUGAGCCCGCAGCAAGAAACUAUGUACAAGGAAAUUUGCAAGUGGAGGUCGCGGUCCGGUGCUGAUACCAGUCCGGACGCAUUCAAGUCAAAAGAAAUCAUAGCUACUGUGAGUGAGCUAGCAAAUAGCAUGGCCAUGGGCAGUUCGCUAAACACAAUUGCGCUCCAAGUUGGGACAUUUGUAUUGUCGAAAGAUCCAGCACAAAGGAGGAAGAAAAUAAUGUCACCAUGGGUAGGGUUGAAGAUGAUGACACCAACAGAAGCAUAUUGCAGGAUGGUUGAGAAAGCAUUUGACUUCCUCAACACAAAAUACGACAUGAUAUGCUCCUGAAAACAUUCCUCCCUGCUUUUUUGUUCCUGUCUAGUUAUUUACACUGUAGCACACAAGUUGCGCCACCCAACUAGCAACUUACAUAUGAAUUAACUAUCAAGUUGUCUAUUUUUUGAAAUCCAGAUCUUGUUCCCAAUCCAUCAAGCAAAUGAAAACGAACCAGAUGCAGUCGGGCACUGGUUUACAGUUGUAUUAAACCUGGCAGAUAAAAAGUUCCAAGUCAUUGAUUCUCUAAGGUCCCCUGGCACCCCGUCACUAGUUCUGAAAGCACAAAUGGUUCGCGCAAAGAUCAUAACACUAUGGAAGAAGUACAUGGCAAAGCACGAUGGGUGCACAGUCUCCGCUAUUUUUAGCUAUGAUCUUCAAUAUAUCUCGGGCUACCGGCAAUUCAGAAUCCAUGAUUGCGGAUUGUUCACCCUCAAGGCGAUUGAGUAUUGGGAUGGAAGCCGGCUGCCCAAAAUUAUUGGAUCUAGUGAGGUAAAUUUGCGGAAACAAGUUCUUCACGAGUGGAUCACUAGUCCAGCAAACCAAGCUGAUUGGAAGAACAAUCUCUGCCAAGGAAGUGAGACAAAGGGGGAAGAGGCUGGUUCUAGCACAUCAAUGGGGAAAAGGAUAUAGAGGAAGCAUCGGAAGGGGCAAGAAAUGCAAAAACGGAGCAUGGAUGAUGUUUUUCUUUUUUUCUCUUUCUUUCAAGGAUAAUGUGUAACAUAAGAUAUUAAUAUUGUAUUUCAUGUCCAUCACCUUUUUUUUAUGCGUCCUUUUUAGCUAAAGAUUUUGUAUGAUGGGUGUUCUGUGCCUGAACUGCAAUGUUACAAUGUUACACCCAUUAUUA